rnacentral:rRNA from 1 species
CCUACGGGAGGCAGCAGUAGGGAAUUUUGCGCAAUGGGCGAAAGCCUGACGCAGCAACGCCGCGUGAUCGAGACGCCCUUCGGGGUGUAAAGAUCUGUCAGGGGGGACGAAACUGGACGGUACCCACAGAGGAAGCACCGGCUAACUCCGUGCCAGCAGCCGCGGUAAUACGGGGGGUGCAAGCGUUGUCCGGAAUCAUUGGGCGUAAAGGGUUCGUAGGCGGCACGUAAAGUCUGGUGUGAAAGGGAGAGGCUCAACUUCUGUACGGCACUGGAUACUGGGGAGCUGUAAUGCGGUAGAGGUAAGGGGAAUUCCUGUUGUAGCGGUGAAAUGCAUAGAUAUCAGGAGGAACAUCGAGGGCGAAGGCACUUUACCGGGCCGUAAUUGACGCUGAGGAACGAAAGCCAGGGUAGCAAAUGGGAGUAGAUACCCCAGUAGUC